rnacentral:rRNA from 1 species
ACGCAAGUGUGAAACUUGAAGGAAUUGACGGAAGGGCACCACAAGAACGCGUGGAGCAUGUGGCUUAAUUUGACCCAACGCGGGAAAUCUUACCGGGUCCGGACACACUGAGGAUUGACAGGCAAUCGUUCAUUCCAUUAAAUUUUUAAUUUAUUGGGUGAAUUCUAAAUAUGCUAGUCCUUUCAUGAUUAUGUGAUAGGUGGUGCAUGGCUGUUCUUAGUUCGUGGAGUGAUCUGUCUGCUUAAUUGCGUUUCACUAAGGGCCUAUAAUAAUUAACGUGCGUUUGUAAGCACAUUGACCCCUCAUGUUUGCACAUAGCUGAUCACUCAGUUGAAUGCAGCAUGUUAGCGCGCGUCUCUGGUUUUGCUUUACAUCGUACUAAUGGGACCCUGAAA